rnacentral:rRNA from 1 species
CCGACGGUGAGAGGUGAAAGCUGGGGGCACGAACCGGAUUAGAUACCCGGGUAGUCCCAGCCGUAAACGAUGCUCGCUAGGUGUCUGGGAUGGUGCGACCGUUUCAGGUGCCGCAGGGAAGCCGUGAAGCGAGCCACCUUGGAAGUACGGCCGCAAGGCUGAAACUUAAAGGAAUUGGCGGGGGAGCACUACAACGGGUGGAGCCUGCGGUUUAAUUGGACUCAACGCCGGAAAACUCACCUGGGGC